CUCCAGACUCCUACGGGAGGCAGCAGUGGGGAAUAUUGCACAAUGGGGGAAACCCUGAUGCAGCAACGCCGCGUGGGUGAAGGAGCGUUUCGGCGCGUAAAGCCCUGUCAGCGGGGAAGAAGAAAGACGGUACCCGACCAAGAAGCCCCGGCUAACUACGUGCCAGCAGCCGCGGUAAUACGUAGGGGGCGAGCGUUAUCCGGAUUUACUGGGUGUAAAGGGAGCGUAGACGGCUGGUCAAGUCUGAAGUGAAAGCCCGGGGCUUAACCCCGGAACGGCUUUGGAAACUGAGCAGCUAGAGUGCUGGAGAGGUAAGCGGAAUUCCUAGUGUAGCGGUGAAAUGCGUAGAUAUUAGGAGGAACACCAGUGGCGAAGGCGGCUUACUGGACAGUAACUGACGUUGAGGCUCGAAAGCGUGGGGAGCAAACAGGAUUAGAUACCCUUGUA
rnacentral:rRNA from 1 species